CUGCACACAGUGACAGAGGGAGCGAACUUCUGAUCAGGCUCUGCAGUGGCUGCUGCCCAGCUUCUUGUGGCUCUUUCCUGGAGCGAGAGGCCGGCUUCUUCACCUGGCAUUCCUGGGAGAGAUGAAGGACAUCGGCAGAAAACGCCAGAUAGCAACACCGAGUUCGACGGGGCUGCACAAACCCCGGAGCGGCGGCGGCGGCGGCACGGAACGCAGGGACCCGCUCCCGCCGAUGUGUGGGUUGUCAGUCGAUUUGUUGAUGAGCUUGCUAACCACGACGUUGCUUUGACAUGUCAGCUGGCGAGCCGGCGUCUGGAUGCCUCGGUGUCAUGCAGGCAGCUCCGUCUGAGCCCUGCGGAGAGCAGCUUAGAUCCGCUGGCCGGGGUUGAAAAUGAGCCGCAGUUAAGCUGCUGAAAGGGAUCCGCGCUGCCGCCAACUGGCUGCUUCAGGACUGACCAGAACGAAACCAUUCAGCAGUGUAAGAGCUCAUCCUCUGCAGAAGCAGCAGCCUACCUUGGAGGGCUACUUCAUUUUCAUUCAUUAAAUUUACUGUUUGUAUUAUUUUGUUUAAUGCUGUUGAGGAAAAAGGGUCCUCUCUGCUGAGCAUUCCUAUUAAAACACGCCUAUUAAACCUCA